GCAAGAUUAGGAUUUUUUUUAUUUAUUUUUUGGAGCAGUUUACAAAAAUGUUACUAUAAAUGCAAGCAAAUGUAAGUAUACUAUAUAUAACACUAUAGACACAUUGUAUAGAGGAGUUUCACAAGCCUCCUGUUGCAUGCACUUUCUUUAUCAGUUAAAUGCUGACAACGUUACAAGGGGAGGGUCAAACGAGAGCUGCUAGUUAAUAUGUAAAUGAGUGUAGGGCUUUAUAAAAGUGUGACCCCGGAGCCAGUAGAUGUGUCACCUCGCUGGUAGAUGGAGCAAGAUGAACCCUAAGCCACUGUCCUGCUGCAACUCUUAAGGUUUAUUGAAGGAGAAUUUUGGAGAGUUCAGUAAAGCCGCUCUAUAGGUGUUGUGUGUGGGAUAUCAUCAUAUACUGUAAGUUUGUUAUACGACACUACAGUAUAGAUGAUGUACUAUACCAUAGCCUUAAUAUACAACUGGGUGAAAGAAGAACCUUGUACAACGCCCCCCAUAGGCUAGAAAAAAAUAAGCAUCCCCCAUUAUGCUUUGUAACACUGUGAUCUGAUAUUCCCCUAUAAUGACCAACAUAGCAAAGCUCUAUGUAGAUAAUAUGAUGUAGUUUUCUUAUAACUAUGCAAAACUGGAAACUCUGCACCAGCGCACGGAUGAUGACACAGGAGUCGGCGAUUAAACCGUUACCAUUACUGAGUUUUGUAAUGGUAAGGGUUCUAUUGCUGCUCCAAAACUCACCUUCAAGACCCGCAGGACACACAAGAGGCCACGGAGGAGGAGAAGCGUUCCAGGGUUACAGAUUCAGAAUGCUGUGCUAGGUGUAUUCGCUUCUCAUGUAAAUCUAAAUAAACUCUUCUCAUGGUCUUA